rnacentral:misc_RNA from 1 species
GCUCCGUUGGUGAACCGGCGGAGGGAUCAUUACCGAGUUUACAACUCCCAAACCCCUGUGAACAUACCAUUUAUUGCCUCGGCGGUGCCUGCUGCGGCAGCCCGCCAGAGGACCCAAACCCUUGAUUUUAUACAGUAUCUUCUGAGUAAAUGAUUAAAUAAAUCAAAACUUUCAACAACGGAUCUCUUGGUUCUG